rnacentral:rRNA from 1 species
GAUACUAUUAUCACAAUCGCACAGAAAGUGUAGAUAAGGGAAUCCUAAGUGCUCACGCUUAGCGUGGGCUUUUGAAAAGAAAAUACUUUGGCGAAUAAGUGGGGGGUAAGACUGGUGCCAGCCGCCGCGGUAACACCAGCGCCACGAGUGGGGAUCAGGUUUAUUUGGCCUAAAGCGUCCGUAGCAGGUUUUGUAAAUUUCUUGUUAAAUUGUUGAGCUUAACUUAACAUCUGCGGGAAAGACUGCAAAACUUGGAACUGGAAGGGGUAAGCGGUAUUUUUGGGGGAGCGGUAAAAUGUUAUAAUCCCAGGGGGACCACCGGGGCCGAAGGGGGCUUACCAGAACAGAUUCGACUGUGAGGGACGAAAGCUAGGGGAGCAAAACGGAUUAGAUACCCGUGAGGUCCUAGCGGUAAACACUGCGAGCUAGAUGUGGGGCAAACUCCGAGUUUGUGCUGUACCGAAACGAAGGUGGAAGCUCGCCCCCCGGGGAAGUAUAGUCCCAAGUCCGAAACUUAAAGGAAUUGGCGGGGGAAAGGGCGAAUUCGCGGCCGCUAAAAUUCAAUUCGCCCUAUAGUGAGUCGUAUACAAUUCACUGGCGGCGUUUUAAAAAAGGAAAAACUUUACCUUUUUUCCCCGCCUCAAAUUACCUUUCCUAAAGGGAUUGGCUCCGGUUUAACAAUCCCCUUGCUGCGGGGCCCCCGGGAGGUUUCCAGUGUUAGGACACCCAUCUAACCUUCCUCCCCCAUACCAUCAAGCCACAAGUGCAGCGGGCGAUGCGUGUGGAAGAGACUAUAUCACACGAUACAAACGCACAUGGCAGUGGGUCGGAGGACCAGGACAACCGAUAAAUCCUUAUUUUUAGUCUGGAUGUAGGUAGCCGCGAUGU